GCAAGCGUUAUCCGGAUUCAUUGGGUUUUAAAGGGUGCGCAGGUGGGCUUGUAAGUCAGUGGUGAAAUGCUGCCGCUUUAACGGUAGAAUUGCCAUUGAUACUGUGAGUCUUGAGUAUGGUUGAGGUAGGCGGAAUGUGCAGUGUAGCGGUGAAAUGCAUAGAUAUUGCACAGAACUCCGAUUGCGAAGGCAGCUUACUAAGCCAUUACUGACGCUGAGGCACGAAAGCGUGGGGAGCGAACAGGAUUAGAUACCCUGGUAGUCCACGCCGUAAACGAUGUUCACUCGCUGUUUGCGAUACACAGCAAGCGGCUGAGCGAAAGCAUUAAGUGAACCACCUGGGGAGUACGAUCGCAAGGUUGAAACUCAAAGGAAUUGACGGGGGCCCGCACAAGCGGAGGAACAUGUGGUUUAAUUCGAUGAUACGCGAGGAACCUUACCUGGGCUUAAAUGUAGAUUGCAUUCCCGUGAAAGCGGGAUUCCCUUCGGGGCUAUUUGCAAGGUGCUGCAUGGUUGUCGUCAGCUCGUGCCGUGAGGUGUCGGGUUAAGUCCCAUAACGAGCGCAACCCCUACUGUUAGUUGCCAUCGGGUCAAGCCGGGGACUCUAGCGGGACUGCCACCGUAAGGUGAGAGGAAGGUGGGGAUGACGUCAAAUCAGCACGGCCCUUAUGUCCAGGGCUACACACGUGUUACAAUGGCCGGUACAAAGGGCAGCUACCUGGUGACAGGAUGCUAAUCCCAAAAGCCGGUCCCAGUUCGGAUUGGAGUCUGCAACCCGACUCCAUGAAGUUGGAUUCGCUAGUAAUCGCGCAUCAGCCAUGGCGCGGUGAAUACGUUCCCGGGCCUUGUACACACCGCCCGU
rnacentral:rRNA from 1 species